rnacentral:lncRNA from 1 species
UUUUUUAAUGAUUUUUUUUAAGAAUAUUUACAUGUUUUACAUUUAUAAUAAUAUUGUGUAUUGUUGAUUUUUUUUCCAAUUUUUUAGUGCUUCAAAAUUUUUUUUUUAAGUUAAUGAAAGAAAACGAAUGUUUACUUAUAAAAAUCUUGACCUUUUCAUUAAGCAACUAAAAUAAGUCAAAAUAUAUAUUUCAUAUUUGGACAGAAGUCUUGAGUCUUUUAAAUAUAGGUUCUACUUCUGCAUCGAGUGUGAUUCAAUAUUCAUCCGCUUGAGAGAGUUAAAGGAUUAGGUUCAGUAAGACCCCUUUUUGGCCCCAAAAUAUAGUAGUUUUACAAAAUUGUGAAAAUGUAAU